rnacentral:lncRNA from 1 species
CGGUGUAGUGAUACUAGAGCGAGAGUGUAGGUGGUUGCUAGAGAACAACUAGCACUGAGCAUGACCAACACGAGAAGUCACAUGGAUGUCUGCUGAUCCGUUAGUGACUUUUUCGAUACUGCAGUUGUAUGACUGAUUUUUUGACCUAUGGUACUACAGCUGCUCGUAGUGAGGCUGCUGGAGUUUGACUACACAUAAACAUGGAUCUC